UUUUUUAAGCUACUACACUGAAGGAUGCAAAGUGUUGGCCUUUUAUGCACCAGAGUUUGUAAAAGACACAAUACCAAGAUACCUGGAGCUUGCUAGUUUCCAGGAGGGAGACUAAUCCAGGAUAAUUUCUACUAUUAGGAGAAAAUUACUCUCUUGUUAUUUUUGAAGUACAUAAUGGUAAUAGUUUUCCAUUUACCCUCCUAGGUAGCCCAAGGCUUCCUGGUGCUGCUGAACCAUUAGGAUUUUUUUUUCAAAGAAAAGAAAAGAAGGAACAAAGGAUCUGGUCCCUGAUAGCUGUACCAGGAUUGACACAUUGCCCUGGCUGGUGUGGCAGGUGCCUAGGAGUGACAAGAAAUUCAGCUCAGUUCAGUUCAGAUGAAAGCUGUAACUUUCCAUGGAAACCACUGGAUUGAUUCUGUACCUUUGGCUACAGGUUUCUUCUCUGUGACAAGAGCUGCCCAGUGGACCCCUGGGCUGGAGGAGGUAACACAGCGUUUGUCACACAGAGGGCUGUCCCUGAGGAAGUGUGCAGCUAAACAACCUGAAAAAGGGGCAGGGCAGAGCACAGUCUGGGCAGCAGGAUGAUCUGGUGGAUUGAGAGGGACACAAGGGGAUUUCUGCCCUGUUCCGGGCCUUUCCUUGCUCUAAGGCUACAUGUGAUUAGAAGAGUUAGCAUUUGCCUUACAGCUUUAGUCAGGACAGACCCUGGUGGGCUGUCUCCUGGUUUGCAUGCUGAGUGUGAGAUGUUUGGAUCUGGCUGUAAACACUCCCAUUUCCAUAAACUCGGGACCAUCUUGUCUCAGUUUGAGCUCCUGAAAUUAGCGGCUUCUGUGGAAAUGCAGCCCCUUAUCUCUGUGUGAAAUAAAACUUGCAAUCCCCAUGGCACUUUUACCCACAGGGUGGGAUGCUGGGAGGACCAAACAGCUCCAAAUAUUGAACAAUGUAAGUCAGCACUAUGAGCAAUUCUUGUUGUGAGUCAAUGUUGAAUCCUUGCCAAAGAUGCCUUUUACAAAUAAAAUUUAGCACUAAUUUAUCAAUGGGUUAGUUCAAAACAUGAUGUAAAGCACUCAGUACAUAAUGAACCCGUCUGGAUCGAAAGAAAAUGCUCAUAACAACUUUAUUAUAAAUAAAUUCUAUGUUUAAGUAGACCAAA